rnacentral:lncRNA from 1 species
GAGUUAGAGAAACCUGGGUAGUGAUGGAGCAUAUUAAGGGUGGAUCACUGGACAAGUAAUUUUAUAUCUGUGAUGCAGAGGUAAGUAAUAGUACUCGACGUAAAAGGAUGUGGUGAGAAAUGUAUUUAGAACACGAAUGUAGUAUCUAGCACGCGCUAAAUGUGCAAUGUCAGCUAUCACAACUGUUCCUAUUUAAAAGGCGUUCCUAUUUAAAAUAUUCCCUGUUUAAAGUGUGUAUGCUGGGGGUUGGUGGUGGUAGAAAUGGUCUAACAGAAGCUGAGUGUGUAGUCAUGGAGGAAGACACCCCUAAAGUCUCUCCCCUGGGACAAGAGCUCCUGCC